rnacentral:rRNA from 1 species
CCUACGGGGGGCUGCAGUGGGGAAUCUUAGACAAUGGGCGCAAGCCUGAUCUAGCCAUGCCGCGUGAGUGAUGAAGGCCUUAGGGUCGUAAAGCUCUUUCGCCUGUGAAGAUAAUGACUGUAGCAGGUAAAGAAACCCCGGCUAACUCCGUGCCAGCAGCCGCGGUAAUACGGAGGGUGCGAGCGUUAAUCGGAAUUACUGGGCGUAAAGCGCAUGCAGGUGGUUCGUUAAGUCAGAUGUGAAAGCCCGGGGCUCAACCUCGGAACUGCCAUUGAAACUGAAGAACUUGAAUAUGGUUGAGGUAGGCGGAAUACGUUAUGUAGCGGUGAAAUGCAUAGAUAUAACGUAGAACACCAAUUGCGAAGGCAGCUUACUAAGUACUAACUGACGCUGAUGGACGAAAGCGUGGGUAGCGAACAGGAUUAGAUACCCUUGUAGUC